rnacentral:rRNA from 1 species
UACAGAGGGGGCAAGCGUUGUUCGGAAUUACUGGGCGUAAAGGGCGCGUAGGCGGCCACCUAAGUCAGGCGUGAAAGUCCUGGGCUCAACCUGGGAACUGCGCUUGAUACGGCAGAGCUAGAGGAUGGAAGAGGCUCGCGGAAUUCCCAGUGUAGGGGUGAAAUUCGUAGAUAUUGGGAAGAACACCGGUGGCGAAGGCGGCGAGCUGGUCCAUUACUGACGCUGAGGCGCGACAGCGUGGGGAGCAAACAGG